ensembl:antisense Gm19434 predicted gene, 19434
AAUCCCAGCCAGGGAAAGUCUGGCGAAUUGAGAGGUCAAGACCAUCCUGGGCCAGCCUGAGCUACAUGUGUACACAUGCCCACAUCUCAGGCAAAGAAGGAAGAGAUGUGUAUGGGCCCAGGAGCGGGAGGAAACCCUUCUGCACUCAUUACAUCACUGGCCACAUCUCCAGAGAUGUGUGGCUUUGAUUCCUAAAGAAGAACUUAGCCUCAACGGAAAGACUGCUCAACAAGACAAGAUCGAAUGCACUUGAGGAUUGAAGACCUUGGCUAAUUGUUUAUUUAAGAAAGCAAGCUGAGCAACCCAGGGGGAGCAAGCCAGUAAGUAACAUCCCUCCAUGGCCUCUGCAUCAGCUCCUGCUUCCUGACCUGUUUGAGUUCCAGUCCUGACUUCCUUGGUGAUGAACAGCAGUAUGGAAGUGACACUCUGAGAACAGGAACCUGUUUGUCCUCCCCAGCUGUGCUACUCUGGGUCUGACUCAAGUUCCUUAUAAGAAGUGAAUAAGCCACAGGCCAAGGCUGUCUUCCAAGUUCCUGAUGCAAGACUGAUUUCUCAGGACAGCAAGCAGGAGCUGGGAUGCCAUGACCCAAAGAGGCCUCCAAAGCCCUAAGAUGUAGAAACACCAGACAGGAGCCCAGACCCCUGACUGACAGGGAAAAACAGAGCCCAGCGUCGCCUGCCCUGCGCCCUUACUUUGUGACUUAACCAGCAAUGAAUUUGUAUUCUCUAAAAUCCCUGUAUUAUGGAGGUUGUUUGUUACGGCAAUUGCUUUCCCCUGGGUGACUCACCCGCUAAAAUUGGGAAGGGCUGAUGAAAGUACCGUGUUUGACCUUGAAGAGUAGACAGAACAGCGCACGCAAUUUCCUCAUAAAUGUAACCUAGGAGGAGGGAGCCAGUGUUCUCCACUUUCCACUGUACCUCAGGACUUUGAUGUUCUCACAGCACUAACCUCGAUGUGGUGUGGAUCUGUGAGAGAUACCAGAAGCCUUCUGAGAGGAGGCAGAGAGCCGGGCAGCCCCAGCCUACCGAGAGCAAUGGGUGGCAGCUGCUGGUGGACUCCGUGGUCCUGGAUCCCAGAGGAAGCCAGGAAUCCCACUAGGAGGCUGGUCAGGACCAACAGAAGUGUCUAUGGUAUCCACAGAAUAAGAAGCGUUAGAGAGCCUGAUUUGACCUUCCUUUGAGUAAGGGCAGGAUACUCGAGGUUUAAAUUGAUGCCAGGUGCGUCACAAAGAUAGCAAAAGGUGGCACAUGUGGAUUCCUGUAAAAUAAUUGAAUUGUUCCUAUCCCUGUCUAGCUUACAAAUGAAUGAGACGCAGAUUAUGAUUUAUUUAUUUAGCUUUUGUGUGAUUACUGGGGGAUUACCCCUAGUCUAAUGCUCUAAGUGCUAGAAUGGCUGCUUCCCAGGGGAGCUCCCCAAGUACUCCGUGUUUGUGUCUUCCUGGGUUAUUCUUGCUCCACCAGCCUGUCCCCUGGGGCUCUUUUACUCGGCUUGUGCUCCUGGUCCAUCCUGUCUUGUGUCUUGGGCCACAGAGUUUAGCAUUUGAAUACAAAGUAGCGCCAGACCAGCCUCCCACAGGUUCCUUCUGUAAGUGAUUGAGAUGCCCGCCCACUUGGGAUCAAUGCGGCUUCAGUUGUGAUUUCUAGAACAAUAUUUUCUAUUCAGAGAAGGCACUGUCAGGCGUGACAGGCUGUUCCAGGUCACCUCUCCAGUCACCUUUCUUUGACUUUACUUGGAGGCAAGCCAAGUUUGGAAGCCAGGGAGUCCUGGGGAAUCUGUACUUUCUAUAAUGACCCCAGUGGGUGUUUUGGCAUCCGAGAUAUUCAGUCUACUGCUAACUGGAGGGACACUCACAGGUGCUCCCUGUGGCAGAGGCGAGGAUCCUGAAUUCCUCUGGUGUCUGUUUUCAGGUGUUUGCUUGUUUGUUUCCUUUAAUUGAGAGGGAGCAGAGGCAGGAGGGUCGGCCCAUGUUCCUCAUACUCUGUGAAUUCCAAGCUAGCCCGGAUUGGAAUUAGACUGUCCCCCGAAGACUCCUCCUCCCCAAAAGAAAUACUAAAAUAAAUUGGGGGGAAGAAAAGAAGGCAGGUUAAGUUUGAGAGAUCUGAUUCUGAGCUGUAGCUCUUAGGCUCAAAUGGGGAAAUGGACAAGAAGGAGACAUCUGAGGGGGACAAGGCGCAGAAGCUGGAUAAAAGCCAGGGAGCAUGGACUCUUGGUAUCUGCUUCCCACUGGAAAUCCCUCUGCAAAGCUGGGCUUCUGAAGAGGAGAGUAGAGAUGUCACACAGGUUAAGGGGUAUCUGUUGGGUGUGUAUAUGUAUGUUGAUGGGUGUGUAUAUGUGUGUAGGCGUGCAUGGGGCACUUAGAAUACCCAUACCAUUUAAAGCAAAGUUCUAAACUUAUAAUGUUGUCUGUGGUAUAUACAUGUGCGUGUACAUAUGUGUGACUACACACGUGGAGUCUAGAGCUUGUCUUGGGGAGUCUUCCUCUAUGACUCUCUACCUUUUUAAUUUUUUAAUUUUUAAUUUUUAUUUUUUUUGAGACAUGGUCUUAGUUUGCAUCUUAUUGGUGUGAUAAAACACUUUGAACAAACCA